AAUGAACGCUGGCGGCGUGCUUAACACAUGCAAGUUGAACGAGAAAGGCUAAUUUCGGUUGGCCGAGUAAAGUGGCGCACGGGUGAGUAACGCGUAGGCAACCUACCCUUGUAUUGGGGAUAACCCUGCGAAAGUGGGGCUAAUACCGGAUAAGACCCGAUUCUGGAGGGAAUUGGGUGAAAGUCGGCCGCUCGGAGAAGCUGACGUACGAGGAUGGGCCUGCGUCCUAUCAGCUAGUUGGUGGGGUAGCGGCCCACCAAGGCGACGACGGGUAGCUGGUCUGAGAGGAUGGCCAGCCACACUGGAACUGAGACACGGUCCAGACUCCUACGGGAGGCUG
rnacentral:rRNA from 1 species